CUAGCUCAGUUGGUAGAGCGCAACCUUGCCAAGGUUGAGGUCACGAGUUCGAACCUCGUG
rnacentral:tRNA from 1 species